AGUUUGAUCCUGGCUCAGGAUGAACGCUAGCUACAGGCUUAACACAUGCAAGUCGAGGGGAAACGAUAUUGGAAGCUUGCUUCCGAUAGGCGUCGACCGGCGCACGGGUGAGUAACGCGUAUCCAACCUGCCCACCACUUGGGGAUAACCUUGCGAAAGUAAGACUAAUACCCAAUGAUAUCUCUAGAAGACAUCUGAAGGAGAUUAAAGAUUUAUCGGUGAUGGAUGGGGAUGCGUCUGAUUAGCUUGUUGGCGGGGUAACGGCCCACCAAGGCUACGAUCAGUAGGGGUUCUGAGAGGAAGGUCCCCCACAUUGGAACUGAGACACGGUCCAAACUCCUACGGGAGGCAGCAGUGAGGAAUAUUGGUCAAUGGGCGAGAGCCUGAACCAGCCAAGUAGCGUGCAGGAUGACGGCCCUAUGGGUUGUAAACUGCUUUUAUAAGGGAAUAAAGUGAGUCUCGUGAGGCUUUUUGCAUGUACCUUAUGAAUAAGGACCGGCUAAUUCCGUGCCAGCAGCCGCGGUAAUACGGAAGGUCCGGGCGUUAUCCGGAUUUAUUGGGUUUAAAGGGAGCGUAGGCCGGAGAUUAAGCGUGUUGUGAAAUGUAGAUGCUCAACAUCUGCACUGCAGCGCGAACUGGUUUCCUUGAGUACGCACAAAGUGGGCGGAAUUCGUGGUGUAGCGGUGAAAUGCUUAGAUAUCACGAAGAACUCCGAUUGCGAAGGCAGCUCACUGGAGCGCAACUGACGCUGAAGCUCGAAAGUGCGGGUAUCGAACAGGAUUAGAUACCCUGGUAGUCCGCACGGUAAACGAUGGAUGCCCGCUGUUGGUCUGAAUAGGUCAGCGGCCAAGCGAAAGCAUUAAGCAUCCCACCUGGGGAGUACGCCGGCAACGGUGAAACUCAAAGGAAUUGACGGAAGGGCAGU
rnacentral:rRNA from 1 species